UACGAGAGGCCCAAACGUUUAUUCGGAAUUACUGGGCUUAAAGAGUUCGUAGGCGGCAUGAAAAGUAGGGUGUGAAAGCCCUCGGCUCAACCGAGGAAUUGCGCUCUAAACUGUCGUGCUAGAGGAACCUAGAGGUGAGCAGAACUGAUGGUGGAGCGGUGAAAUGCGUUGAUAUCAUCAGGAAUACCGGAGGCGAAGGCGGCUCACUGGGGGUUUUCUGACGCUGAGGAACGGAAAGCCAGGGGAGCAAACGGG
rnacentral:rRNA from 1 species